UUUUAUAGGUGUCUAAAAUAUGUUUAGCGGCUGCCCCCGUCCACAGCAGUACAUUGCUGAGCUUCCGUAUCAGUACUUCUGAUUGUAACAGUUUCUUC